UUUCUGUCGCUCGCUGGCGGCUGGUUUCACGUCUAUAGAGGAAGGAUAUUAUGGAAGAGUUCAGAGCUUUUCUUUUGGGGUGUCCCUCAUCAGCCCCCCUACUGCUGUCGCAAACCUGCCACAAAAUGCAGCUUAUCGCUGGGGGAGGAGAAGAAGAGACACAAAAGGAGACACACUCAGCUUUGAGCUUCAAAGUAACUUUCUGAGGUUUUCUUACGUCCUCAGUGUUCUUGGAAGUCAGGCACCCAGUGUACAUGGUGUUUCUGGAAUUCCCAGACCUGGGUGUUCUCCCAUGAAGAGCUACACGCGGAGAACCGGCCUCGGCCCCAAUCCAAGGGAAGGAAAAAACCCCUGGAGGGGAGAGCGGGUGAAGCCAGUGGCCGGGUGCGGUGGCGCCGUGGGAAGCGGAGGCCGGAGUAGCCAUCGGGGCCAGCCCGGGAAACACGCUCCCCCAGCACUUUGACGGAGGUCACGGAAUGCAGGGAGCUGGCCGUGCGGGCCACAGAACGCUGAGAAGCCACGGGGCUGUGCCGCGACCUGAGUUCAGUGAGCACAAGAGGCCACCAGACCCACAGGGGAGGAGGGGGCAGCCGGCUUCUCCUCCAGUGCCCCCCUUGGCCUCCAUCGGCAGACCAGGCAUCUGGGAAACACAGCCGCUGGGGAUCCAGAGGAGGGGAAGACCCAGAUGCCCCAGCCCAGGGCCGGUUCCACAUGGGCCUGGAUGCUAGAGGAGAAAGGGCGCGAGUGGGGUCCCGGGAAGGAGCUGCCCCAAGAGCCCGGCUUCCUACGGCUUGUGCAUGGCGUGUUGGGCUUCAGGAGUCCCGUGGACCCCAGAGGAGAAAGGGGGAUAUGGCCAAGCAGGCAGGCUGGUUCACUCCUGGGGCACGGGGGUAGAGGGGUCACCAGUGCAAGGAGCAAAGUGACCCCGAUUGAGGACCCAGAACAGCCAAGCUAGGGAGCGACCAACGCAGUAUCUGAGUUCAGGGUUCCGCGGCUCAAAUCAUGGAACACGAGUGACCGAACACCAGGGUAGGCCUUAGGCCGCCGCAGUCCUGCCUCGGGAGCCUGAGAGCCGUUUGAAGAGGUUUGCGGAAAUGUGAGAGUAGAAAGUACUUCUGAAAGCUGAUCUGAUCUUCAUCACGUGCCAAUGCUAAAAUUUAAAAAAAUGCUAAAAUUUUAAAAAUGCUAAAAUUAAAAAAAAACAAAAACAAAAACAAGAGCAAGGAAUAACUGACUCAGGUUUGCACAUCUGAACGCCCGUCCACAGGUUUCGACACCGGACUGCCGGGGUUGAGAAACGGACGCUCAAUGCCACCGCCUUCGCUGCCCUGACUUACAUGUUAUCCUGCGUGUCUUUGGCACCUGUGCGUUUUUCUGCAAACUCGUCCUCAUUCUGGACUGUAAGUCCUUUUGGGCAUGAGGCAUCUCUUCGUACCAGGAGUGACGUCGGAGCCCUGUCCCCGCUCGGAGAAGCACGGGGCACAAGGCACAAGGACACACGAGCUGCGGAAGUAAGCCAGUCCCCACGUUUCGGUGACUUAACACACCCGGAGUUUGUUUUUGGCUCAGCGGAGCAAAGCAGGUGUUAGGUGGGUGAUGUUUCCACCGGGGACUUAGGGACCAGGCUCUUCCUGUCUUUGGCUUGGGCCACCCACCAGCAGUCUCGGCUUCAGGCUCCCGGGGCUGCGCAGAACAAGGAGGAGCAGGUGUGGCCUGCUCGGGCCCAGGUCGGGCCCAGGUCGGGCCCAGGACGGCGCCUGCCUGCAAGGGCUGCUGGGAAAUGUAGUCCAGCGGGCCCAGGCAGACGAGGACAUGAACAGCAGGCCGGUGGCCCCACACUCAGCCAGAGGCCCCCUGAGAGUGCCCGGACAAGGCCAUAAGCGUCUCCUCCCGUCCCGGCAGAUGGAGCUGGUUGGAAGCCCACCGGUUAGACCUUCGCUGCCGAGGCCCGUGGGCGCCACGCCUCUCUCGCUCCGGCUCUCCCUGCGCCACGCCGCCCAGACGUGCCCCUGGACCGUCCUCCGCGCACUGAGCGCGCGUCGGCCGCGUGGCUCGCGCUGGUCCUCCAGCCCCGCCCCCGACGGCUUUCCGUGUGUCCAGAGCCGCCAGACCCAGGAGGGAACUGCGGCGCACGGGAGCGAGGGCGCAGACCUUCUGCGCGCGCCUGUGCAGCGGGAGGCUGUCCCCGGAGCUCCGGCCAACGGCCCCCCGCGGAGGGAGGCCCCAGGAAGGACGCCACGUUCUGGGCACGCAGCCUGCUCUGUCCUCCCGCCCCGCGGACCCUCGCACCGGCCGCCGGCGCACCUCUCCGAGCAGGAGCGGGGCCCUGGGAGCGGCCGCCUCGUGCAGAUUCCCUACCCUUGGGUGGCCCACUUGUGCAGGACCCUGGCCACCAAGGUGACGUAUGUGAGCCCGUGGGCAGCAGAAGUUGGUCCUCCUGGAGUCCUGUGAGCUGCUUCUGGAGGAGCAGGUGGACAGCAGAAUGCUUCGACUGACCUACAGGUCAAAGGUUUUGAAGAGAGCCCGAAUUAGGUCUCCUGAGAGACAGAGCCCAGAAAGAGGGGAAAAGGAAUUCCGAAGAAGUAAAACGUAGAGAGAAACCUUAAAAAUUAAAACACUGUAUCUGUGAAACCAAAAGGAACAUUCUGACUUCCUAGUUACUGAAAAAUAAAAUGAGAGAAUUAAAUUUAAAAACAAAGAAACAAACAAAAAACAGGACUGGAUGAGAGAUGUGGAACUCUCCCAAAAGGAGAAUUAAGUGAUGAAGACAGAGACCUCAGGCGACAACAUAAAAUCCAACUAGCCGGCCUGGCGUCCCAGCAGCAGGAGGACUUCCUGCCGCAGUCUCGCUUCCCUCCUGGCUGCCUGCUCUGUCCUCACCCUGUUUCCUUCUAAGAGAUGAUUUUUCUACUUAAGCCAACGCUCCAUCGGGGUCUAUCUUUUGAAACCAAGACCCCUAAGACAGCAGGAAGCUGGCCUGGAAGAGGGGUGGGGGGUCAGCGGUGACAGGGAACCCCCUAGUCUCGGCCACUAGCCAGACUCCCCAGGGCAGAGCGGAGGCCACUCUCUGUCCGCUCUUCUGCCCGGCCGCCACUGCAGGGCUCCUCGGGAGCCGCUUCUCCCCCAGCACUUACCGACAGCCCCCUGCCCGCCCUUCCACCGCCACCCACCGGCCAGCGUUCCCAAGUGCCUGCCGGCUCGGACCCCUUCCAGCUUGGAGCCCCUUCUGGAUGUCUGAGGGACACAUGUGGCCGUGACCCCACGCAGCUGACACUAAUGCAGGCGACUUUCCAAAUACGGUAUUUACGCAGAGUAACUACGUUCACGGGCUAUGUACGCAACAGCCAACAACUUUAAAUACCUAAUGGUAUUCUGAACUGUUUGCAGAUAAGCUUAUGCUGACCAUGUUUUAAAAUAAAACUGGCUUUGGAAGACACAAGACUACCCAUCUCAGACAUCAGGUUUCCAGAAGAAUCUCUACAAUGAGAUCAAAUCCCCAAUUACUUUUAUGCAUUUUAAAAAGUAACCAACACAGCAACCCCUUCAAAAAGCGGCCUGGCACUUUCUCCAAGUUCAACACCCACCCUGCGAGUCAACAACUCCACCUGGAGGUACUUAAACAGAAGUGAAUGUGAACCCAAAACGCACACACAACUGUCCGCAGCUUUAUCCGUAGUACUCCCCAGACCACAAACAACCCUAACAUCCACCACCAAGGAGGCACCGAGAAACUAUGGCAUAGUCAUACCAGGGCACACUGCUCCGUGGCACAGAGGAAGGAGAUUAAUGAGAUCUGCAACCACACGAUGAAUCUCAAAGAUGUCAUGUCACGCGCACGGCACCUGAAGCCAGGCAGCAGCAAUUUAUUUUUAAGGAAAUCAGAACAGGGGUUUGAACAUAGCAGGAUGACUGAGAAGAGCCCAGGGUAACUUUCUGGGGUGAUGGAAAUGCCCCAUAUCCUGACCUCACUGGUGCCACCGGCAUGUGCGUCUCUCAAAACAAAAGUCAAUGAGCUAUUAAAAAAAAAAUCAACAGUACACUUACGAUUGUACAUUUCAUUGUACGAUUAAAAAAAAAAAUGCACAGGAGAAAAAUCAGCAGCACGGGACCAGGUGCUGGGUGGGAAAGGUGAAGCGGAGGCCAACCUCCAGCCAGAAGCUUCCUCCAGAAACUUCACGCAGGGCCCAGGAGGUCUCUGACCAACUUCUGUCUGAAUCUUCAGGCGGGGUUCUUGGCCUCUUUCCUCACCUUUUCCUUGGCUGUGAACAGACAAUGUACUCUCAAAUACAAACUAAAAACGAACGAAAAGACGUCAGUAUUCUUUGGUGGCCAAUAACUACAAAGAAGAUCAAGACGGGCGCCUGGCUGGCUCAGUCGGUAGAGCGUGCAACUCGUGGUCUCAGGGAUGUGAGUUCAAGCCCCAGGCUAGGUGUAGAGAUGACUUAAAAAUAAAACCUUAAAAAAAAGAAUCAGGUACUUUCAUUAUUGCAAUAAAAAGAAUGUCUACCCUAGAGCCUGAUAUUCAUGUUUAUGUUAAGGUGCUGUUUAAACUCAUUAUGGCUUUACUAUCCACACACCCACUGAUGACCUAUAAAAAGCAGGAAUCAGCAGCUCUGCUUCAGGCAUAGCAGCAGCACACGAAGCCAACGCGAGCCAUGAGAGAGCUGCUUAAUUCAGACACGGAGAGGGGGAGCGCCAAGCACGGUGUUCUCUGGCCCGGGCCCCAGGAUGCGCAGCCCCAGAUGGGAGCUGUAGCCCGCAGGAGCUCACACAGACCCGCAGAGGUGGGAAUCAGGCUCUCUAAACGACCUUCUAGACUCUCGGGCCCACUGUCACUGCUGAAGACACAUCUGUCCCGGAAGCUCCCAAACCGAGCAGGCACCCCAGGUAAAUCCCGCCGCUGCUCAACAACCACCCCACCCACGGGCCCUUACGACCUUCGUGGCUGCAUGGAGGCACCUCCAACUAGUUGUCAAGGUCAAAACACAGGAGUCAACCUUCAAUGGGCUUUCCCCGAACCCCCCACCAAACCCUUAAGCAAGUCCUGAGGGCACAAUCUCCAAAACCAACCACAGUGGGGCCUCCUCCCCCUCCCACCCGCCAAACCAAGGCCCAGGAGCCUGACCCCGGGCAGUCCGCAGGGCGCCUCCUACACGUGCUCCUUUUCUGCUCUCCCUGCGGCCCUCGCCCCACGAUCCACCCCCAUUCAGCCCCGAGUAAGUUCCCACAGAUAGAAAUCAUACUGCGUUCCUCCAUUUCUUAAAACCACCCAGUGAGUGCCUCUGCCUCUGCAGGCCUCCCUGCAGUGAACCCCCCCCCCAACCCCAAGGCAUGCUGACCUCACUUCUCACCCUCCCCACCUGGCUGGCCGUCUGGCGCCUCUGUCAUCACCAUCACACCACGUUCCCAGCUAUGUCCCGGCCCACACC